rnacentral:sRNA from 1 species
CUAAUCACAGAAGUCACUUGGCUCCGGGGUUCAACAAAAAUCAGAACCCGUUCAGGUAUCCCGGUGCCUGUGAGGCUAUCAGCCACGGAUUUUUGGGUGGUUUGCCGUAUCAGAAUCUGUCUGCCCCAGGACAGACUAGGAGUUGCUUGUCGCCUUGGGUUUCACCUGACGCUACUGCAUACACAACGACAGCAGAAUUAUGAUAAUAAUUUAAAUUAUCUUCAUAUUUUAAAAUUUUUCAUUUUUUUGUUUUAGAUCAUCGAUUUUAAUUUAUACUUUUUUUUUACCUAGGUAAGCCUUAAAUAUAUUUUUUUUAAUUAAUAAUUUAUUUACAUAUAAAUUCUCUAAAAAAGAAUGAAAUCCACAUUCAAAAGCACUAUCUUUUUCUAAAUAAGAAUUAUGUCUUUGCCCUUUCGAGUGCAAAUACUCUCCGAUAAAAUCUUCACGAUCCCCCGAUGUGUACAAAAUUUACAUAUUGUCCGAUUAAAUUAUUUGUCAAUAUUAAUAAAAAUAAAGCAUAAAUAAAAGGAAAAUAGAUUUGACCUUUAUUUGGAUUUAUAGGUAGGCCCUCUCGAGCUUUCCCCCUCUAAGAACCGUACGUGCGAUUUUCAUCGCAUACGGCUCUUAUUCAGAUAAUUCUAAUAAUUACUCAAAUAAUUAUAAUAAUAGUCUUGUUACAAAUAUCGUGGAAUAGCAGCAAAUCAAAGCUCAAUUUCAGCUUUUUUAACUAAUAGAGUUGGUGAUUGUUUUUUAAUGAUAGUAGGAUUUAUAGAAAAAGCAUCUAAAAAAGGUUUAGAACGAGUAAUUAAACUAAUUAACGUGACCACCCACCUAACGAUCACUCCCACCUAACGAUCGCGAUUUCCCAUACAAAUUGACAAAAUUAUCCAGCUCAUAUAUCAAUCAUUUUUAAGUAUAUUUUAUAUUUUAUUGGUAAUUUAUAAUCUACUAUCAAAUAUAACUAUUAUAAGGAACUGGUA